rnacentral:tRNA from 1 species
ACCUGGGUGGUUCAGUCGGUUGAGCAUCUGACUUCAGCUCAGGUCAUGAUUUCACGGUUCGUGGUUUCGAGCCCCACAUCAGGCU